UCAGAGAAUAACAUAGGGUUGUUUGUUUCACCUCCCUGAGGCUGAUCACUGAAGAUCACAGCUUCUGUGAGCUACAGACACUCUUUCCCUUUGCCUCUUCAAGCCAAAGCAGGAUCACUCGCUCUGCUAUGUCACGAGCAGCCCUAUGGAAGGGCCCUGUAGCAAGGGACACAAACCUCCAGUCAACAGCCAUGAGAGUUGAAAGGAACUGUACUCAGGGACCUGUACUUAAGGACUAUACCCAAGGAGCUUCAUCCAUACCAGGAACUGAUUUAGAUUCUGGAGUUUGAGCUAAUGCAUUAGACCUUGUGGACCUUGGGAGUGGUGGCAAGGAACAGAGUCCUCCAGCCAAGAGCCACGUGAGUCAGCUUGCUUGGAAGUCGAUCCCUCAGUUCCGGCCAUGUCUUCAGAUGACUACAGUCCUAGCUGUCAGCUUGAUUGGUCAUCAUGAGGGACCCUGAGCCAGAAUCACCCAGCUAAGCUGCUCCUGAAUUCCUGACUCUCAGAAAUUGUGUGAGAUAAUAAAUGUUUUCUUAGACCACUUCAUUUUGGGGUAAAUUUGUUAUGCAGCCACAACUAAUAUAGUAGCAAAGAAAAUGUUGCUUUGUAGCAUUUGUCUAAAUAAGUUCAAAUAUGAGGGAUUUAGUGAGCAUACCAAUUCCUGAUAAUCAUGGCAAAUUAUUGCCACUUAAGCUGCAUGGAACGAGUUGGUGA